rnacentral:rRNA from 1 species
AGUAGUUGACUCCGUGGCUCGAGGACGACGCUGGCGGCGUGCUUAACACAUGCAAGUCGAACGAGACGAUUUUAAGCUUGCUUAGAUGAGUCGAGUGGCAAACGGGUGAGUAACGCGUAGACAACCUGCCGUAAAGAUGGGGACAACAUCCCGAAAGGGGUGCUAAUACCGAAUGUUGUCAGUUUUCCGCAUGGGAGAUUGAUUAAAGAUGGCCUCUACUUGUAAGCUAUCGCUUUGCGAUGGGUCUGCGUCUGAUUAGCUAGUUGGUGGGGUAACGGCCUACCAAGGCGACGAUCAGUAGCCGGUCUGAGAGGAUGAACGGCCACAUUGGAACUGAGACACGGUCCAGACUCC